AUCGCCCUCGGACGCCGUGGGGAGGGAGGGGGCGUGGCCUCUGUGGACUAGCAUUGGCGCACAGGCCAUUUAGGAGUCAGAGCCGGCCCCCCGUCUUGUGGCAGCAAAUGACAGCGUGCUGUGUCCAUCUUUGGCUUUUCCGGCUGGUUUGCUGGGGAUUGUGCACAUGCCCCAGCACAUUUAACCCUCCCUCACAGCCUACGGAGGUAGCCAUGCUUCUGCAGACUGUUUAACAAAGGCUGUCAACCAUACUCGCGGACUCAGUACUCAUCUAGCUUUAACGUUGUGGAGUACGGGGCUGAAGAGGCCUCAGAAGAAGGGCAAAGCAUACCAGAUGCGCGUACAUCAUGGCCGGUGGACACUUGGCUCCUCCUAGUCAACGGAUCAAAUAUUCUUCUUUACCAGAAAGUGCCUUCCUCUCCCUUUUCCAGUCAGUUGUGGCUCAUCACUGAUAAACUUGUAGGGCCUCUAUGGCAGUCCUUUUCUGGAGAUGGAUGCCCCAUCCCUGGAGAAUUCAGGAUUCAAUCCCCCUGUUCAUUACAAUCGAAGAGUUUAGCUGUCUUUGCUGCUGUUGGAAGCUGCUGUUCAGAGACAGAUAAUGCCUUUCUCUAACAGGACGUUUGACUGAGUGGAGAGCAAAGAAUAAAGACUUGGCUGAAAUGACUCAAAACAGUUGACCAAGAAGUAAUUAUGUGAUAGGAAACAAGAGGACAUAACUCCAAGACCAUCCCAGCUGAUGAGUAUCCAGGUUGAUGCAAGCUACAGAACAAGGAUCAUAAAAUUCUGCUGUGGGGGCUGGAGAGAUGGCUCAGUGGUUAAGAACACUAGCUGAUCUUCCAGAGGUCCUGAGUUCAAUUCCCAGCAACCACAUAAUGGCUCACAACCAUCUGGAAUGAGAUCUGGUGCCCUGUUCUGACCUGUAGGGGUAUAUGCAGACACAACAUUGUAUACACAAUAAAUAAAUAAAUCUUUUUUUAAAGUCUACUGUGAA